CCCGCUCCGGGGCUCUCCGGAAGACGCCUGCGCGCAGGCCGGGGCGGGGUCGCGCCGACGUCCGUGCGCGCGCGGCGGGGUGACGUCACCGCCGCUUUAGAAGAGCGGGCGCGCGCGGCCGAUUGGUGGGAGCUCGCUCCGCCCCGAGGCGGGAGCUGUCUCGUGGCAGGUGGUGCGCGCGAGGGCGCGCCAAAACGGCCUUGAGGAAGCUUCGGGAAAGUGCGCUGGGGGGCGGUCCUACUUGCAGCCCUUUUCAACGGGCGUCGCCGCUUUUACAAGGUCUUGAGAAGGUCAUUGUCUGCUUCAACUGUGAACCAAAGAAUACCUUGGAAAAUUUCUUGCAACUUUUCGGAAAGCAGUAA
rnacentral:lncRNA from 1 species